GGAGAGGUUCCCGAGAGGUUUAAGGGGGCAGUCUCGAAAAUUGCUGAUUCUUGUAUAAAGGAUCCGAGGGUUCGAAUCCCUCCCUCUCCG
rnacentral:tRNA from 1 species